UACGUAGGGCGCAAGCGUUGUCCGGAAUUAUUGGGCGUAAAGAGCUCGUAGGCGGUUUGUCACGUCGGCUGUGAAAACCCGAGGCUCAACCUCGGGCCUGCAGUCGAUACGGGCAGACUAGAGUGCUGUAGGGGAGACUGGAAUUCCUGGUGUAGCGGUGAAAUGCGCAGAUAUCAGGAAGAACACCCGUGGCGAAGGCGGCUCUCUGGGACGGUACUGACGCUGAGACGCGAAAGCGUGGGGAGCGAACAGG
rnacentral:rRNA from 1 species